rnacentral:rRNA from 1 species
GUGCCAGCAGCCGCGGUAAUACAUGGGGUGCAAACGUUGCUCGGAAUUAUUGGGCGUAAAGCGCGCGUAGGCGGUCGCUUAAGUCGGAUGUGAAAUCCCUCGGCUUAACUGAGGAAGUGCAUCCGAGACUGAAUGGCUAGAGUACGAAAGAGGGUCGCGGAAUUCCCGGUGUAGAGGUGAAAUUCGUAGAUAUCGGGAGGAACACCGGCGGCGAAGGCGGCGACCUGGUUCGAGACUGACGCUGAGGCGCGAAAGCGUGGGGAGCAAACAGGAUUAGAAACCCCCGUAGUCC